rnacentral:rRNA from 1 species
GACAGAGGGUGCAAACGUUGCUCGGAAUCACUGGGCGUAAAGGGCGUGUAGGCGGGAAGGCUAGUCAGAUGUGAAAUCCCUGGGCUCAACCCAGGAACUGCAUUUGAAACUCCCUUUCUUGAGUACCGGAGAGGAAGGUGGAAUACCUGGUGUAGAGGUGAAAUUCGUAGAUAUCAGGUGGAACACCAGUGGCGAAGGCGGCCUUCUGGACGGUAACUGACGCUGAGACGCGAAAGCGUGGGGAGCAAACAGG